rnacentral:misc_RNA from 1 species
GAUGAAGAACGCAACGAAAUGCGAUAAGUAAUGCGAAUUGCAGAAUUCCAGUGAGUCAUCGAAUCUUUGAACGCACAUUGCGCCCUUUGGUAUUCCGAAGGGCAUGCCUGUUCGAGCGUCAUUAUCACCCCUCAAGCCCUCGGCUUGGUGUUGGACGGUUUGGUGGAGGCCCCCUCGGGGGCUCCUGCCCCUCCCAAAGACAAUGACGGCGGCCUCGUUGGACCCCCGGUACACUGAGUUCUUCACGGGACACGUAUCGGACACAUGGGUUUACGGGACACGGUCUGCCUCCCCUCAGGGAGAAUCUUUCUAAGGUUGACCUCGGAUCAGGUAGGGAUACCCGCUGAACUUAAGCAUAUCAAUAAGCGGAGGA